AUUAAUAUUGUUUACUCUAGAAUUACGAGCAUAUGAUUUUAAACAAAAAAGAAAAACAUAUAGCUUCAAAAUUUCACCGUGAAUGUUAGUCGCUUAGGAUCCGUCGUUUUGUAAAUAUUUCCAGUCUACUCAAAAAAAUUAGGUAGAUCUCACAAAUUUUUUAAAAAUUCCUAUAGGACAGUUUUAAUAAUGAACAUACUUCUAUAUGAUAUGAGCUUUUUUUAUUGAAUAAUGAUAGUUACUCGUGCUGACUUUUGUCGUUCGGUGCUCAAGUUGCUCAAGGUAUUAACAUUUCAUGAUGGAAAAAUAGAAGAUGACAGUGAAAUGCAAGUUGUAUCCAAAAGUGACUGAUUGGGGACACAAUGUUUAUGGCUUGUAGAAGGGACAGUGGUCGUACCAUUCAAGGGAAAAAGGAAAGAAAAAUUGAUAAUUUAUCCAAAAAGGUAGAAAAAAGAACAUUUUAUAUCAUCAGAAAUAAAAGAAAAGUAUGCGUGUAAAGUGUAAAAGUUUAAGUAUAAAACAAAAUGAGAAAUGGACGUAAACUCUCAGAUCAAUGUCUCCGUCCCAAGGGAUCUUCGCAUUCAUUCGGUAAAUCAAGAAAAUAAUCCAUCAAGAAGAAUUCGUCAUGAAUGCAGUUGAAAAUGUACAUGCUUUUCAAAAUUGAAGUUCAGAAAUGAACGCUUAGGGCAUUUGGAACUUCGCUUUUUUCUGAUGGAGACAUUUUGGGUGAAAAUUCGUGAUUUCGCCCUCAAUCCAUGAUGCCUAAUUUAUCUCUUAAGAAAAACUUUUAUCGGUUUUCUUCAAUCUAGAAAAAUUUCCUUAAAUGGUACGUCCACUAUCCCUUCUGCUCUGUCACAAACGACUUAAGUUUCUACAAGUUAAUUUUGGAUUCAGUUUGUACAAAACAAAAAUCUUUCGUUAAACUUUUAACACCGAAACGAAGUUAAUUCCGAGCAGACCAAAGUAAAUCUGAUGUUUCGAAUAGUUGACAUCAUGAAUACUAGAUCUCUUAUUUUUUAAAAACCUCACCAUGAUUUCAGUUGGAACGAUUUAAGGUUUAUUCUUUCUAUAAAAUCUUAUAUAAUGGUGUACCAAAAUUUUAACAAUAAAUGUAUUUUUCUCAGAAAAG